UAUAGGCAUGCAGCGUGCGCUGGCAGAGCGCUGAACGCACGCAGUCGUCCUUGCCAAAACGCACCACACCUAUCAUGUCAUCUUCCUCGAAACGCGCCAUCGCAUCGCUCAGGCCAGACUUCACGCCAGGAGGCAAAUCGCACUGGGUGAUGUCACCGUUCACGAUAACCGUCACGUUUUCCCCGAGGCGUGUA
rfam:Yokenella regensburgei ATCC 43003 genomic scaffold Scfld157, whole genome shotgun sequence.